UACGUAGGGUGCAAGCGUUAAUCGGAAUUACUGGGCGUAAAGCGUGCGCAGGCGGUUUUGUAAGUCUGACGUGAAAUCCCCGGGCUCAACCUGGGAAUCGCGUUGGAGACUGCAAGGCUAGAAUCUGGCAGAGGGGGGUAGAAUUCCACGUGUAGCAGUGAAAUGCGUAGAGAUGUGGAGGAACACCGAUGGCGAAGGCAGCCCCCUGGGUCAAGAUUGACGCUCAUGCACGAAAGCGUGGGGAGCAAACAGG
rnacentral:rRNA from 1 species